UCGAUCUCUGCUCAUUCAAGUUUUAAAUGGUGGUUUCUGACUCGGAAGCCGAUAUAUCUGUUUAUAUUCGAGUUAUAAACGCAAUGUUAUUAUAUAUGAACUCAAGAUCGGUGACCUCCAUACCUACACAUUACUACGUGGGAUAUCUUCUCGUUUGGUGGUUUACAUAGUCAGACCUUCAAGGUACUAGAUCUGUGUGGUACGCACCAUAAUCGGUGUUGACAAAAUUGAGGACAAAAGUUUUACCGUUCCGAUUUGAGGCUAUUUCGGACGUUGAUAUGUACAAAGUUGAGCCUUGAGAUUUUCCAGGGUAUUUGAUAAGUGGAGUCAACCCAUACAUGGAGAGACAGACGCUUGAUUGAUUUCAUUUGAUUUGUAUUAUAAAAGCGCGUAAUUUUAUUUAUUAUCCUUCAAUAAAAUAAUGUUUAUUUAUCAAAA